AAUAACUUUGGACAUAGUAAAACAUUGGGGAGAAGGAAAUUGGUCGAAUCGAAAGAAACGAGCAAGCCGAAUACCGGAAUAGAAAAAGGACAAGAUGGUCCGUGAAAAAGAUGUAAAAAUCGGAGUGACAAAGUUUCUGAGUGGUAGUUGGUGGGAUAAAAGCUUACCAAGCCGAUGAUAGAUAGCGGUGUUGAAAGACAGUACCGCCUCACUGGUAUUGAAAAAGGACCAGACUUCAGUGGAAGGCAGCAGUCGAGAAUAUUGGUCAAUGGGCGAAAGCCUGAACCAGCGACGCCAAAGAUCGAAGACAGCAUCUGUUGUAAAGGUCGGAACUUCACAAGGAGAAUGACGUUAGUGGAGGAGAAGUCUCGUCUAAUGAUUGUGCCAGCAGACGCGGUCAUACAACGGAGGCAAGUUUGUUCAUAAGGACUCGGUGUAAAGGGCAGGUAGGCGGUGAUCGGAUUGACUUGACAGAAAGCGACCAAACAAAGGGUCAUGAAUGACAAGUAACAAGGUCACUAGAGUGUGAGAGGGGUAUACGGAAUGACUUCGGGACUAGUGAAAUGGGAUGAUCGAAGUCGGAACUCGAGUGGUGAAGACGGUAUACUGGAUCAAGGUUGUGUCAAGAAAGACAGAAUGAAACUGACGCUGAACUGCGAAAGCAUAGGGAGCAAAAGGGAUUAGAGACCCCUGUAGUCUAUGCUGUAAACGAUGUACAUUAGUUGUCAAAGUCAUCUUAGGGUGAAUUUGGUGAAUGGGCAAACGCGUUAAAUGUACCACCUGGAGAGUAAAGUCGCAAGGCCGAAACUCAAAGAACCAGCCGGGCACUUAACAGACCUGUGGAACAUGCCAUUUAAUUCGACAAUACGCGAGAAACCUUACCGUACUUAGGAGGUCUUAGAAGAGAAGCAUGCUUAUGGGUAUGUAGAAAAGAGAGAUCGUCAGGUGUUACAUAGCUGUCGUCAGUUCGUGCCGUGAGGUCUUUGGUUCAGUCCAAUUAACGAACGUAACCCAAAUGACAUGGGGUUAGAAGGGAAGAAUUGAAAGAUUCGGAACGAAAGAUCAAUGUCAGAAUGCUCAAGACAAUUGAGAGGAAGUUGGAUGAAGUCAAGUCCGUAUGACCCUUAUGGUACGGGCUAUCGGUGUGUUACAAUGGUAUUGGACAAAGGGUAGCGAUGAUGCGAAUCGGAGCGAUUCCCAGAAAACAUAUCGGAAUACAGAUUGUAGACUGAAACUCGUCUACAUGAAGUCGGAACAGGUAGUAAUCGAUGAUUAGAACGCAUCGGUGAACGUGAUUCUAAGUGUUGGACUUACCGCCCGUCAGUGACUGAGAAUUGUCUGGAAACGAAGUGAUGAAUGAACCUUUACUGUGUAAGGAGAGGAGCAAACGUCACGACUUACUGGGUGGUGAUUGGUUAUAAGUCGUAACAAGGUGACCGUUGGUGAGCCAGUGGUCG
rnacentral:rRNA from 1 species